UACGGAGGGUGCAAGCGUUGUCCGGAAUCACUGGGCGUAAAGGGCGCGUAGGCGGCUCAUGAAGGCUGUGGUGAAAGUCCGGGGCUCAACCUCGGAUCGGCCGUGGCGACUCGUGGGCUGGAGCACUGUAGAGGCGGGUGGAAUUCCGGGUGUAGCGGUGGAAUGCGUAGAGAUCCGGAAGAACACCAGUGGCGAAGGCGGCCCGCUGGGCAGUGGCUGACGCUGAGGCGCGAAAGCCAGGGGAGCAAACGGG
rnacentral:rRNA from 1 species